rnacentral:rRNA from 1 species
CCCUUAGACGUUCUGGGCCGCACGCGCGCUACACUGACCAGUGCAACAAGCAUCCGUCCUUGGCCGACAGGCCCGGGCAAUCUUUGAACGCUGGUCGUGAUGGGGAUAGACUUUUGCAAUUUUUGGUCUUCAACGAGGAAUGCCUAGUAAGCGCAAGUCAUCAGCUUGCGUUGAUUACGUCCCUGCCCUUUGUACACACCGCCCGUCGCUCCUACCGAUUGAAUGGUCCGGUGAAGCGUUCGGACCGUGGCCUUUGGACGGUUCGCCGUCUGUUGGCUGCGGGAAGUUCGUUAAACCUUAUCAUUUAGAGGAAGGAGAAGUCGUAACA